rnacentral:rRNA from 1 species
CCCUCAGAUGUUCUGGGCCGCACGCGCGCUACACUGAUGCAUUCAACAAGCCUAGCCUUGACCGAGAGGUCCGGGUAAUCUUUGAAACUGCAUCGUGAUGGGGCUAGAUUAUUGCAAUUAUUAAUCUUCAACGAGGAAUGCCUAGUAAGCGUGAUUCAUCAAAUCGCGUUGAUUACGUCCCUGCCCUUUGUACACACCGCCCGUCGCUCCUACCGAUUGAAUGUGUUGGUGAGGAGCUCGGAUUGGCAGCAGUUGGUGGUUCGCCACCGGCUAUUGCUGAGAAGUCCUCCAAACCGCCCCAUUUAGAGGAAGGAGAAGUCGUAACA